AGCUGUCAACCAGGCUUUGAUCCGGGGGUUUCCGAAUGGGGAAACCCGGCAGUCGUCAUGGGCUGUCACCCGCUGCUGAACACAUAGGCAGUGUGGAGGGAACGAGGGGA
rnacentral:rRNA from 1 species